CUCUGUAGAAGUACUUUUGGUAUACUCUCGCUCGAAGGAAAAAAUGGUUUCCAAAAUAGUUUUGGUGCUUUUGGUAGUUUCAUUGGUUGCUCUUUCACAAAAUCAUUGUGCAGAAGCUGCCAGUUGCACUAUCUCCGGAUUUGAAGUGUUACUUACAGAAUGCAAACUUGCUUGCGGUGAUGACUACACGAGUUCUCCUAUUGGAAGCUGUGAUGGUCUUUAUCAAUGUUGCAUGCCCAAUCCCAUGAAAUUCAUUCCACAACGAAUGAAUAUCAAAACUGAUUAAGACAUUAGCCGGCACGGAAAACUAAACUCUUAAGAACAUGGAAUGAACAUUUGAAAUAAAAUAUUAACAUUUAACCCAGCACUCGAAGAAA